rnacentral:ncRNA from 1 species
CCUUCGAUGUCCGCUCUUCCUAUCAUUGUGAAGCAGAAUUCACCAAGCGUUGGAUUAUUCCCCCACUAAUAAAGAACGUGAGCUGGGAUUAGACCAUCAUGAGACAGGUU